AUUAGGGACGACACCAAAAGAUCGAUGUAGGAUAAAAAACUUAAAUCGAAUAGUUUGGGGGUGGGGGGGUCAACAUUGCUGCAAGUUUUGUUAAUCUAAAAUCGAUUUUACAUAUAUCCAUAUAGGUAAAUCAAUUUUUCCCAAAUUAAGUUAAGAAGGGGGGUAGGGGGGUCAGCGAAAAAACUAUGUGAAUUAAGUUUUUUUUAUCCUACAUUGAACUUUUGAUGUCGUCCCUUAGUAA
rnacentral:lncRNA from 1 species